rnacentral:rRNA from 1 species
UAGGGAAUCUUCGGCAAUGGACGAAAGUCUGACCGAGCAACGCCGCGUGAGUGAAGAAGGUUUUUCGGAUCGUAAAACUCUGUUGGUAGAGAAGAACGCUGGUGAGAGUGGAAAGCUCAUCAAGUGACGGUAACUACCCAGAAAGGGACGGCUAACUACGUGCCAA